CCGCUUUCUGAGAGCCGUCGCUUCGGUGAAAUCGAGGGAGGAGAGCGGUCAUCAUGACGGCCAACAUCCGGUACAAAAGCCGCAUCCCGGUUAAAACAGAGGAUGGCACAGAGGGUUUUAAACCUACAGUGAUUCCAGGGCGCUGCCUUCCAGGAAGCUUUUGGAAAGUAACUGGAGGUUGACCCAGAUAGAGAGAUUGUUUGAAAGAAUCUUUUCAAGUAUUUUGUCGGCCAUGAUAAGUUUGGGAUUACAAGUUCUUUGGAAAUGGGGAUCAGGAGUUUUAAGCAGUAAUCCAAUGAAAGGAAUGGAGAGAAUUAGGGUUAUUUCAUAACCGGUCUCUGUGUAUUAACUGCACACAAUCAGAAUUUUACUUUAAUCAAUCACAGUUAACUUUAGACUGGAAAAUAAAAAAGAUUUAAAUUGAAUUUCCAUUAAAGCAUGAGGUAAGGUUGGUGUCACGCAACCUUACCUCACGCGUCUCAACUAAAGACCCAGCUAUUCACUUCCUCCUGAGCUGUUGGCCAUAUCACAUGAUCUUCAUCAGCAUGUUGAGUUUGCUCAAGUGUCAUGGAAUUAUGGAUGCUCAGACCUUUUCGUGAUUUUAGCAGAAACUUCUCCAUGUUAAGCUCAACAUUCAUGCAACAUGGUUGAGAAGAGUUUUAAGUGCACAAAACCAUUAAAGUGAGUCAAUGGACCUUCAAUUCUUUUUAUAUUUCUAACUUUUUUUUGUCAACAAAUCCCAUGAAAAGACAAAAAACAACAAUGUGUCGGUUCAUCAUUGACCUCCACAGAUCUCAGCCCACUGGAUCCUGCUGAAGACAGCACUGUUGUGCUUUUGUUGGGGACUAUUUCCAGCUGAUGGAUGUACGUACAGAUAAUACUUCUUAGUGGUAUCAAUACAUCCUUUAAGUAUCAGAAGUUGUGUCCUCCAUUUUUGUUUUACACAACUUCCAACCUCCCAAAAACAAAAACCUGGUUCCUUCAUGAAGACAUUCAGCCGUGUGGUUCCCUCUGCUAAAUGCUCGUGGACACAUGUUAAUAAUGGCGUUCGUUCAAGGUUACAGCCGUGCUCCCACGAGUGUCCAUUGUCAUUGAAUAGGCGGAUGCUAAAAAACUGGGCCGCAAUGACCGAGUGUCCUUCAGUGAAGCAAUUCUAUUGUUUUGCCUGAGCAAUUACAUGCUGUCAGAUUAGCAUGUUAAAGAGCCGAGUGCAUCUCCAAGGGAGACGCAAAGCCCAGAGUGUUUUUGCACCCCUCUCCUUCUGUCUCAGCCUCCCUCACCCCUCUCCCACUCUCCUGUCUCCCCUCAUCUCUGGUGGGGAAAGAACACACAUUUAGGGCAAAGCAACCAGGGUGAAACAUUGGACAUUGCAGACAAGUCACCAGUAAAGGUCACCGCUCUUCACAGGGACACGUUGCACCAUUUUAAGCCCUCGACCGAGGCCACUGGGUUUCAGGAGAUGCACUGGUCGGAAAGCACAAGUAGAUUCUUCAUGUAGUCGUACCUUUUUUGACCACCAGUAAUUCCUCUUUCACUUAGAUUGCUACAACGGGGAAAAUCGAAGUUGAAAUAGUCUUUCCUCUGGUAAAAUAGAUAUUUAAAGUGUUAAAGAAAAGAACAAAAGACAAAAAGUCAAAUUCAUAAGCAAGAUAAUUCAAUACACGGAGGUCGUUUUUGUCUAUAUUCCAUUAAUUGUUUCCCUGUCAAAACCUGGCGCCUACUUUACCAACAAUGCAACCCGACAGCUGUGUAAAAGUUCUUGGAGUUCCCCUUUAAGUAAAGCCUCACACUGAAUAGUCACUGUAUCAGAGAGGGAUCGACUGGCUGCUGACAACAUUCAUGCAAAAAUGUUUCAGGCAGUAAGUUUGCAAUUUUUAAAAUCAAAGCAGUCUUCCAAAAAGCUGCUUUUGUAUUUUUCCUUUUGAGGUUUCAAGCAGUGCGUGCGGGGACACUUCUAUACACAAGGAGGAUCUUCUCCACCUCCUCGUCACCGUGGAUACUCACAUACAUUAUCGUGCCACGUCAUCCGGUGGAUCAAUCUGAAGUGAUCCUGCAGCUUGAAUUGUGAUCGGAUGUUCAGUGUGUGUGAUGUUCAGUGUGUGUGUGUGCGCGUGUGCGUGAGUGUGCCCUGGCAGUGGAGCGGACUGCUGGGCCCUUUUGAGAGUGGUUUCCUUAAAGGCCACGACUUUGUUUGACGGGGAGGAAGAGGCUGAGUGCUGCCUGCAGGCAGAGUGGCUGAUCCCUCUCUGCCUCCGCAGGACCAUGCAACAUGUUGACAGGCUGACAAAUAAACGGACUCACAGGGGCAUGGUGCAUUCAUACACUGAAAUAGUAUUCUGUGAGCGAAGCCUCUUGUUCUUGUUGUAAAGAGCAAAAGAAAACCAUAUUCCGGAAAAGUCGGAGAUCAUUUUCCACGUCUCUUCAAGAGAGGUUUGUUUAAAAGAUAAACAAGUGGUUCAGCACAAAUACGUCAUUUAUCUUUAUUAAAAAAGGCACUUUUUUCAGACAAAUAUUUGUGUAGUCGAAAAUUGAACCGCAGCAAUUGUGAAAAUCUAUUAAUGAUAAUAAAAUG